UGGGAACCUUCCCUAUGGUUCGGAAUAGCUCAGGGGAAAACUUGAGGUAAUACCGGAUAAGCCCUUACGGGGAAAGAUUUAUCGCCAUUGGAUGGGCCCGCGUCGGAUUAGCUAGUUGGUGAGGUAACGGCUCACCAAGGCGACGAUCCGUAGCUGGUCUGAGAGGAUGAUCAGCCACACUGGGACUGAGACACGGCCCAGACUCCGUACGGGAGCAG
rnacentral:rRNA from 1 species